rnacentral:rRNA from 1 species
UACGGAGGGAGCAAGCGUUACUCGGAAUUAUUGGGCGUAAAGCGCGCGUAGGCGGUUAUCUAAGUCGGAUGUGAAAGCCCUCGGCUUAACUGAGGAAGUGCACCCGAAACUGGAUAGCUAGAGUACGAAAGAGGGUCGCGGAAUUCCCGGUGUAGAGGUGAAAUUCGUAGAUAUCGGGAGGAACAUCUGUGGCGAAGGCGACACCCUGGACCAGCACUGACACUGAGGCACGAAAGCGUGGGGAGCAAACAGG